GAGGCUCUGCUCACACGAGACGCUUCCUGGACGUCGAGGGGCAAAGUGGGGUCGCUCCAUGCCAGGACUAAAGACUGGUUUCAAGUGUAAAGAUUAGAGGUGGAUCUAGCGACUGGUCAAGACAGUGUCCGAGGAAAAAUGAAACGCGUUUCGUAGUGCGGUGUGGGUACGGUGGAGCCGUGCCCAACGAGGUAGACGUCGCAAGUGCCCACGACAGUGCUUCGAGCACACAGAGCUCGCUGCAGCAGUUGUACUGGACGUUGUAUGGACACUGGGAACUCGAGAGUACCCUUGCCAGGAACAACAUGGAGCAACUGCGCACUGCAUGGUGCGACUCUUUCAUCGUUAAAAGGCGUCAGGAUGUAAUUGCUCCCGCGCACUUGAUCACGUCAAGCAGAAGGAAGCCAAUCCUAGGGCCGCGUGAAGCAGUGUCGACUCGAGUGUCUGCGCGAGCGUGUAUCAUGACGAGGACGUGGCGGUCAUAUCAGAGGCAUACGCGCCUCUGGAUGCAAUUUCUGUCAUGGUAACGAUCCGCAUCUAGGAGUGCAAGGCGUAACCCGGAUAUUUUAGCCCACGAAAAGCGUUCCCCGUGAACUGAGACGGCGUUUCGGACUUGUUGAUUGCUGCGCCGUACCAUGCCAGUGCCGUGGCGCUUAGGAGAACCCGAUGCCCUCUGUCUCGGCCACUGAUUUCUCGAAUCGCAACGCUUCUGCAUAGGAGCACAAGCCCCUGUUGAGUACGAAAGGAUUCCGUCGAAUGUUCGCUCGACAAAACCGCUCGAAGUCGAGGAGCCCAAGACACUUCCGAACGUUGAUCGAGGCGUUCAAGUCUCGGUGCAGAGACUGAUUCCGCGGAUAGCCGCUGCUGGCAUCAAACCAGAGCGAGUCUCACAUUCCAUGGAUUUCCUCGCCAGGUGAAGGGCGGUCCGCUUCCCGGACACCACCUCGUACAUAUGCGUCUAUUCCACUUGCUUCUCCCUCUGUACCGGGUCCAGCGUGUGCCCGUGCUCAUGAUACGCGUACGCCAUUCCGAAUGCAUCGAUAGGUAUCCAACAGAUCCGAUUGAUGCGCUCGUUGGACACGCUCGUCGAAGGUGCAGGAAUGAGGUAUUUGUGGUGUACGGCACGUUUAGUGCCAUUGGCCGCCAUGAAACCAUGCGACAUAUCGGGUAUUCCGUACUCGAAUUCGUUGGAAAAAAAUUGACCAAAGGACGAUGCUGGCUUCAGCAAAAAAAAAACAACACUGUCGGCGAUCCAGCGCGGUGUCACAUACACCUGCGAAUGGUCGUCCGCAUGCAUCAUUUGGACGCUCAUGUACGCUCUGAACGAGGCGUAUCAAGGAUGCGCCUCUACUCGGUAUGGUGGUUGGAGCUUCGACAUGGGCCCUGCAGCCGUUAUUCUAUUUGCUGGUGUGUCUGCUGGUGUCCAUCACGUCCGACUCCCUAGCAUACAGAGCAUUUUGAAAAAUUGAGCAGCUUCAUCUGCUACCCGUUGGAAUCUUUGACUCUAUCCUCUUGACUUGGAGGGGUUGCGAUGGACCUGGAAACCUCCAGCACUGCAUCCAUACACACCAUAGAAUCAUUCUCGUCAUCUGUCUAGAAAGACUGGAAAUGAGCCUCGUUGAUCGACGCAGAUAAACGUUUCCACCAGUUCAUGCUGCUUGAUACGCCGUCUAUAUCGAUCGUCACUGUAAAUUGCGUCUCAUUUCCUCCCCGUAAACGAGAGCUCUUGGACGCGC
rnacentral:misc_RNA from 1 species